UCUUCUUGGGUUUGUGAUGGUCAUAAAAUUGGCUGGACUUCAUAUAUAUUCCAUUGGGCCAACUUCUGAAUGUUAUACCAUGGUUUGGAUCAUCAAAUGGGUGAUUUGAAUGUGAAUCAUUUGCCUCAUUAAAAACCUUGUGAAGAAACCCAUUGGGACAAAACUUGACAAGGGAAAAAGAGUACAAAUGAGACACAUGCCCAUUUGAUGAUCAUGUAUCAAAACCAAUGAGGUUAAGAUAACAU
rnacentral:sRNA from 1 species